AACCUCUUUACAAGGCUGAGCGGCAGGCUGCCGGAGUUGCUGCUUUCUGGGAAAGCACGGCCACUUCACCACCGCCCGCAGGUGCUUCUCCUGCCUGCCGUGCACGCUGCCGGCCAGAGGCAAGGAAGGGCUUUCGGCCACGCGUUGGUGACGGCGCUGGCAGCCUGGGCAGCUGGCUGCAGAACGUGAAGCUGCCAAGGACAGGAGGCAGCACCCAGGACGGAUCUCACAGAGGGUGGCUCCAGGUGGACGUGUGUAAGCAGCAGGCGCGUCCCUGCAGACAGCGCGAUGGCUUCUCCUGGCCCCAGGCCUCCGCUCAGAGACCACUGCCUGCAGCUGCUCCAGCGCAGACUAAGCCUAUUUCACAGUGGGUAGUGAAAGGAUAUACUCUGCCCUUAGCCACGCAGAACCCGCAGCCGCUUUGGGAGCGGCCGCUCCGCCCGCUGCCCCGGGACAGUGCCUGCGGUGCGGCUGAGCGGCGUUCGCUUCGCUCAGCAGAGGCGGCAAACGGCAGCUGGAGCCGCGCUCUGCCAGGCACAGCGGCCACCGAGCGCGGCCACCGA